CUGAGGUCAGUAAAUAAACGAGCUGUUACUGCUCUGUUAGCACAGUUCAGUCAUCUCUGUUUAAUCUCUGUCCACAGGGAGACGGACAGCAGCAGCCCGGACCGCCGCCUGGAGGAAAACACCACGACACACAACCAUCAACAAGUCAGAAGAUAAAAUAACAGGAACUUAGAAAUCGCAGAUUUAAUUUAAUCCUAACAGAAGAAAGUCUUGCUCACUCGUUUAACACCAGCGGAAAACCCACCACACAGGAAUUUCAGAACCUCAACAAGAACAACAUCUCCCACCGUCCGAGCUGCGAGGGAUAAACCUGCUUCUGCUGAAUGAAGUGCCCGAGAUGGACUGAGACGCUUCAGAAGGAAGACUGUGAGCUGCAGUGUUUUAAAGUAGGUGAAGAUUUAAAGAGACCAUCAUGCUCAGCUUUAUCCACUAACAGCUCUACAAGCGGUCACAUGGUCCAGUGGGCCGACUCAGCGGGUGACCCACAUCAGUACUUACUCAGGACGUAGAGAGAGAGUGUUAUCCCUGCCAGGAAGAAUCCUUCGAAGAAGCGAAGGGUGCUGAACAUGGUCACAUCCACAGAGAAAGCCACUGUCAUCCCGAACACCAGUGUGAAAAAC